rnacentral:lncRNA from 1 species
UCCGUGUAGAAAAUAUUUAUUUAUGUAUUAUGACAUGUAUGUGUAAUUUUUAUUAUCAAAUUUUUAAUAACUAUAACUAUAAUUACUGCUGAAAUAGAAAUUUUAUUGAAACUGAAAAACAACGUACAGAGACGAAAACCCUUGAGAGCAUAGGCGCAAACUAAGGGCCGGACCUAAAAAAUAAUUUAUAAUUUUUUUCUUAUUUUCUAUAACUAUAAUUACAUUUAUACAAAGUUCAAUGCAUACGUUUUCAAAUUCCAGAUUUUAUUGAGUAAUCGUUGUGGAUUAUUUUAUUUUAGUCUUAGAACAUAUUUUGUGUUAAAGCUAUAUUUUAAUUCUGUUUAAUAUUUAUAUUUAUUUAUUUCAAUAUGUCAUUUAAUUUCGAUCUUCAUCGUGCAUCGCACGAAUGGAGGUACUAGUUUAUUAUUAAAAACAUGCAUGAAUUAAUUUUGAGAAGUGGUAAGUGCUACCACACACAAAUUCCAAAUCCAAAGGGCUUCACUUUGAAACAGCUGCUGCCACAAUGGUUCCUGAUGCACUCCUUGCUACCAUCGCAGUCUUCACAAAAAUCUCCAACCGAUUUUGCCCAUUCCACUCCCAUUCCUACCAUUUAAUUCAUGCCAUAUAACAAUUUUCAAAUCAUAUACAUUAUUAAUCUUGAGAUAUCCUCUAUUUUAAAGCUACAGCUGUACAAAAUAAGUGUAUCCAUGAUAUUUGAUGAAAGAACAAGUAUAUGCAUAAUAUUAAUUUGUGUAUGAGUAAUGGAAUGAUGAUAAAAUAGAAGGUGGAAUAUUACCAGAUGGGAUGAGCAAAAGAAUGACCAAGAAAAGUAUUGUUGGCUUAAUAUUUUCCAUAAGUCGCUUAAUUU